rnacentral:lncRNA from 1 species
AUAAAAUAGGGUUUAUGUUUUGAGUGAUUUCGAGCGUUUUAUUGCAGAUCUACGACUGAAUUUUUUUGAGUUCAUUGUUAUAGUUGUGUUGAAUACAUGUCGUGAAUUUGAGCUCGAUCUAACGGUUGAACUGAGAGAUAUUGAGGUUUAAGUGAGUCAAGGUCUUAGAAAGUAGAAUUUUAGGUCUAGUGAGGGUUUUUUAAAUUUCAUGCAAUCUACUAGUUGGAUUGGAGUAAAACUUAUGUGAGAGGAUAUAAGACUUGUUUUCCUAUGUCCUUGGGAAAUUUGAAACCAAUCGAAGGGCGCAAAGAAGACAAAUUGGCUCUGGAAGUUUGGCAACAAGAUUGGAGAAGGAGGCCGGCUAACACCCGAAAACAUUUUUGAGGUUUUCGUCAAUUUGGUAACUCCGAUCCUUUUCAAAAUUUUUUUUCUUGUUUUGAACUUGAUUUUUAAGAAGUGUGAAAAUUUUGAAUUGAGAUCAACGGUUUAUUCAUUAGAUAUUGAGGUUUAAAUUUGUCAUAGGAAUUACUAGGAUUUGGAUUAAGGUUUGGCUAGGGUUCGGUUUAGGGUUUGGAUUAGGGUUUGGACUAGGAUUUGGAUUAGGGUUUGGCUAGGAUUCGGUUUAGGGUUUGGAUUAGGAUUUGGAUUAGGGUUUAGGAUUUGGUUAGGAUUUGAUUUAGGAUUUGGAUUAGGAUUUGGAUUAGGAUUUGGUUAGGAUUUGAUUUAAGGUUUGGUUUAGGAUUUAGGAUUUGGAUUAGAGUUUAGGAUUGGAUUAGGGUUUGAAUUAGAGUUUGGAUUAGGAUUUAGAGUUUGUUUAGGGUUUGAUUUAGGGUUUGGAUUAGAGUUUGAUUUAAGGUUUGAUUUAGGGUUUAGGAUUUGGAUUAGAGUUUUGGGUUGGAUUAGGAUUUGGAUUAGGAUUUAGAGUUUGGUUAGGGUUUGAUUUAGGAUUUGGAUUAGGGUUUAGUUAGGAUUUGAUUUAAGGUUUGGUUUAGGGUUUAGGAUUGGAUUAGGGUUUGGUUUAGGUUUUGAUUUAGGGUUUGGUUUAGGAUUUAGGGUUUGGAAUAGGAUUUAAUUUAAGAUUUGUUUAGGAUUUGACUUAGGAUUUAGGAAUUAUUAAGGUUUAAGAUUUAAUUAGGUUUGGUCUAAAGUUGAGUGAAAUUCAAUAGGGUUUUAACUAGAAUUAAAUUAAGGUUGAAUUGACAUAUAUUUGAGUAAAAUUUGUGAUCAUUCUAAUAUUUCUUUAAAAAUUUUAUUAGUUGUCUGAAAUUUCUUUGAGUUGUUUUGAAUUAGAUUACGUUUGUUUA